UUGUCCACCGCUUGCUCCGGAAAACCCUAUCCGCCCUCUCCCUCUUCUCGAUCCUCUGCUUCGAGGUGCCCAUCGACGACCACUGGUUACCGCCCGUGAAGCCAUCGUCUGGCAUCUACUCCUUCGCUCGGGGGAUGGGAAUGCCCUCCGAACCACAAUCCCGACAAGCUCCUCUCUGUUGCGAGAUUACUGCCACCACCUCCGCAAGGACAAGGGGAUCGAGAGCCUCAAUGUGGCCUGAGCCGAAGCUCUAGGGAGACGCUCAAGGCAGUGCAGUGGUGGAGCAGCUCAUCAUCACAGUGGCGCGGCUGGGGAGCACCAUCCUUCCGCUGAUCGUAGCCCUCCAGGUCGGAAAUUGGAAUCUAGAGGCCACCGCUGGAGUAGAUAGGGGAAGGUUUCCGACCGUGAGAAUUCCCUAUGCGUGGAGCACUCAAAGCAAUUACAGAGUUCGCCGUAGUGUCAUCGUUGAUGCAGUUGUACUGACGGGGGGGAGAAGGCACAGCUGCCUGCAUUACACAUCCCCAGGAGAGAUGCAGCAAUGCUGAAGAGAGAAGAUUAUCCACUGGCACAGCAUCCCUGCCUACCAACUUGAGCUUUAUCCGGUUGGACUGCAUGGGCACAGACAGUCAUAUGAAUUGUGAGCUCUAUCAUGACCGGUUAGCAUUUCUUCCUCUCCCUAAAUACGAAUCCACUAUACCUGAGGCCAAUUCAGAAUGAUUUCCAUGGAUUCAUUGAGCUGAAAACAGUGUAUCAUCGAGGGAUGGAUUGCGGGUCUUGUUACAUCCUGGUUUAAUCACAUUGGAUGUGUCGAAAAAUAUGAAUUGGAUUAUAAGAGUUCGAUGGAUGUACAAAAAUUAACUUUGACUUAAGCAUUCGGAGUCAGUAGUUUAAACUCAAUGAAAUUAAUAGAUCAAUGUUGAAAUUUUUGAAUUGGAUUAUAAGAGUUUGAUGGAUGGUACAACAAUUAACUUUGGCUUAAGCAUUUGGAGUCAGUAGUUUAAACUCAAUGAAAUUAAUAGAUCAGUUAUUCUAUUAAGGAUCCUGUCAAGUCGGAUCAUGAACUGGGUGUCUGGACAUAUAAACAGAGGUUUGAAAUGUUCAUGUUAGCCAAAGUCCGAUGCAACAGUUCGCCUUGAUUGUUAUUCUCUUCGAUGCUAUUUCCUUCACUUGAUAUGACAAAUUUCACAAAUCGAUGGUGCUACAAGUUUGGUCUUCUUUGACGCUUCUUCCCUUCUAUCACUGAAGGUAUGUAUCUGAUACUUUGACAUGCACUGGUGCAAUGCUAUGGAACAUACAAGAAAUACAUUACUAUGUUUUUUUUACUGCAAAUCACAUUAUGAUUAGCAGGUAAACACAUGAAAGCAAACAGAUACUUCAAACAAAAUUGAGAAGCUAGCUUAAGAAUUUUUAACUAAUAUUUAGAUUUGACUACAAUACUAAUUAAUUAUUUAUCUGGUCUCAUCUCAAACUUUUGUCAAGCAGGCUAGUGCAUCAAGAAAAAUCAAUCAGUUAAAAGUUAUGAUCAUGAUGGAUAUUUACCAUGUGACUUAUUUUUCAAACAUACUUGUAAUGCUUAGUAGCCUGUCAUAAAGCUUGCCUACCUCAUAAGCUACUGUUUAUUUGCUUUUUGUGUGAUGGUUAAAUUGUGCUGUGGUUUCAUGGAUACAAAUGAGACUUUAUUUUUGUUUGAGCAUGUUCUUCUACAAUCAUAUUUAGAUGAUCUGCUCAUGUAGAUUACAAGAAAUGAACUUUAUGUAGCCUUCCACAUAUCAAUCUAUCAUGAUUACGAAACAGGGAAAAAAGAUAUUUCUGGUUGUUUCUGUUGAAUCUCUCUAGAUAAGUCAUUGGCAUAGUAUAUGACUUUAUCCUAGCUCAUAUAAUGUUAUAACUCUAAAAGAUGCAGUGUGUUUUAUAUAAAUUCACUGAUCAGGAAAAUUAGAGACUUGAACAUAUGUUUUUAUCCUAAACAAAUUUAAUAGGAAGAAAAUAUGAUUUUGUUAAUGUCUUGAGCUAAUUCUGUAAGAAUCUUGGUCGCAUGCAUGGUAAGCAGAUGGUGACAAUUAAUGUAGAGGUUCCUUCACACUUGUUGUAGGCCAGAGGCAACCUCUUGUCUGAUGCUCAGUGUAGUUUCCCUCAUGACCCACUAAAAUUCUGCACAUAGAUUGGAUCCUUGUCCAUCAAAAAAUUCACUUGCAAUGCUAUUAUGCUGAAAGGUUUGGUGCAAAGUCUCAUCUGUAUAUUAUUAAAUAGGUUAAAGUCAUCUAGCAUUAUCAAGUCAACAGUUUGAUGAUCCUUUUGAACUAAUUUUAGAUAAGCUCUUUGAUCAUGGUAUGAUAGAUAGGAAUUUCAAUCAGCUCAAAAGUUCUAGGUUCUGGACCACCCACAACAUGUGAAUAUAUACUUACCGUGGCCCUCGAAAAGAUUGGGUAUUAUGCCAUUAUUUGCUAGGCACAAGAGUUCACUAGAUGCAAUAUGUUUUCUGGGGUUGCUGCAAUUGUAUUUUUUUACGACCUAGAUGUUGGCCUUUCUCCCAGGAAUACCAUGUACAUAUAGCAACUUAUUUCUGGCUGCUUGUUAAUUUUCAGAAGACAAAAUAAUAACAAAGAGAAAAAUGUGAUUAAAGAAAAAAGUUUACUCCAUGCCAUAUGUUUGAUGGAAUUGAUAGAUUAGGAAAAAUCACAUAUCAACAUUAUCUCCAAGAGAACAAUUUGUCAAGAAUAUAUGCCUCCUCUUCUUUGCUAGUUAUCUGCAUGAGUCUGCUUCUUUAAAGAUUAAAUAUCACAUUUUCCACAUGAAUCCCUUGACCUGCAACACAAUUCCAUUCUAGAAAAAGACAUCAGGGGGCUCCUUUUCCAAAGUUGUAAGAGCAAAUUUUCAUUCAUUGGGCUAAUACCAUGUGUGGUCUUAAUUUCCAAUGUGAAGUGAAUCUGAUUCUGCUCUCCUUGCUUCCUCUGAAACUUCAUUAGGUAAGACUUAGGAAGCUAAUCCCUGCAAAACCUUUAGCUCUAGGUAGAAUAUGGGACUUGAAAAGAUCAACCUGAAAGCCUUUCUAAAAGUUUAGGCUUGACCCAACUGGAAGAAUGACCUUGUUUUUUGAACUUAACUUUUGCCUCCUGUGACACUGUUUUGCACCUAUGUUUGGUUACUUUUGUUUUAUUUAUCUUGGUGGGUUUUGUGCCUGCAAUCAGAUACUUGUAUGCCACCUUUACUUAAUUUUUUUUGUAAUGUCCUUUUACUUGAGAGUAAUGCUAUUUAGUAUGACUUGCCAAACACUGCUUGUGAAAUCAAUCUAUGAAAAUAAAAUUCAUGGUUGUUCUUAAGCUAAAUUAAUCAUCCACACUUGCUAUAUUAUCAUUUUGCUUGCAUGAAGAGCUACAUGCUGAGGGAAUAGACAUAUGUCAGAAUUGACUACUGAUGGUAUUGAGGAACCAAACUUGUUUUAUGCAUCCUCCUGUGUCAUCAUGAUGAGAACCUUCUCACUGGCCACAUGAGAUUUGACCAGUAGAUAAUUCCAAUAUUAGUUGGCAGCAUUUUCUUGUUAGGAAAAAGGAAUUAAUUAUCACAGGGAAGAAAGUUGACAACAUGGCUGCCACCUUCAUGGUGAUGUUAUAGUGUGAUCUGCUUCACCCACCACUGCAUGGUGAGUCGUACGUACAUAAAACCUAAAUUACUUGUGCCAAUCUUAAGAGUUAAAAGGCAUGGUAGAUUGAACCAACCAAAAUUACAAUUGAACCCUGUGCUUCAGCUGGUUUUUUCUUGCCAACCGGACUGAGAAAGGACUUCUACCCCUUCGUAGUCGCUGUUCCUUCCCUUGCGUGGGCCCCAAGUAACUGUUGCAGUCAUCAGUCUGGUAGAACCGACGGGUAUGAGUUGGCCGGGAAGGGUACUCAGCAUCUUACACGGUGCGGUUGCUUCGUGUGGUGCUCUCUAGUGGGUCCCAUGCGGCUUUUCCGGUAUUUAGCGUGUACGGAACGGGUAUGAAGAGAAGAAGCGUGUGGCAGCGGAGCUGAGAGGGGUAGCGGUGAAACGAACACGGUGGCGGUUGAUGAAUCAAUGGCGGCAAAAGCAGAGUCCAGAGAGGCGCCUCCUCAGCCACACGGCAGCGCCGGUGGGACCGCCACACUUCUCUGUUGUCUCUUCUCCUCCUUUCCUCCCUUCCCCACCUUUUUCUUCCAUCCGUCCGCGUCGCCAUCAUCCCCAACCUCCUCUCCCUCUUUUCUCCUCCUCCUCCUCCCUUCAUCGUCCGUCGAAACGUGAGAGGUGGUAGGGGAGAGAGAGUUCGAAAGGGAGAGGCAAGGAGGAGAAGAGGGUGAGAUGGAUAUGGUGUUGUGUGAUGAGCUGGUUCAGGAGAUCCUGCGGCGGCUGCCUCCCUCCUCCGCCCCGUCCGUCUCCCUCGUCUCCAAGCGUUGGCUCUGCCUCCUCCGCUCCUCCACCACCUCCCUCUCCCUCCGCAUCCCCCCACAUCAAACGACCCCGAUUAUUUCUCCGAGCAAUAAUUCGCCAUCACUCCCCUCCAUCCUCUCCCACUACCCCUUCCUCACCGACCUCACCGUCGUGGACGAGGACAACCCCGCCGACGACCUCCUCCUCGCCAUCGCCGCCGCCGCCUGCUCCUCCCGUCUCGCCCACCUGCGCUUCCUCCCGGCCUCCCCUCUAUCCCCUACCGCCCUACUCUCCUCCUCCACCGCCUUCGCUGGCCUCACUACUCUCCAAAUCGCCUCCCUCCUCCCCCUCUCCUUUCGCUGGCUCUCCUUCCUCCCCUCCCUCAAGUCCUUCUCCCUCGUCCGCUCCCGCUCCAAGCGCCCCCCCUCCCUUCGACAAGAAGCGCAACAGCUGCCGCCGGCUGCUGACGACGAUGGGGACCGGUCGGCCCUCAUGCUGCUGCCGCUGGAGAGCCUGUCUUUGUCUGGCAUCUGCGCCUCCGACCGCGGCCUCUCCUGGCUGUGGCGCCGCUGCGCCGGCCUCCGGUGGCUGCAGCUGCGCGCCUGCGAGGGAACCGGCGACGGCCCCUCCUCCCCCGUCUUCCCCCUCUGCCUCCCGGGUCUCCUCGUGCUCGAGCUCCGCACCUGCCGCGCUAUCGCCGACCGCGUCCUCCUCCACGCCGCCGACCACUGCCGCGCCCUCACCUCCCUUCUGCUCUACGACGGCGGCAGCCGCGACGCCCUUCACCACUUCAUCCACCGCCGCGGCGCCGCGCUCCGCACCCUCGACCUCCGCCUCCCGCUCGACCUCCACAACGACCACCUCUUCGCCAUCGCGGCCGACGACCGCGGCGACAGUGGCAAGCCUGGGGGCCACCGGCUCGCGGCGCUCCGCCUGCACAGCUGUUGCCUGGUCACAGGGGACGGACUCCGGUCGCUCGCCCGGUCUCCCGCUGGCGCGGCGAUCGAGGAGCUCGCCCUGGUGAACUGCGAUGUGGUGGAGAAGGAGUCCGGGCUGCUGACCUGCCUCAGCCAGAGCAUGCAGCGGCUGCGGAGGGUGGACUUGUCCCACAACGAGGGUUUGGCCGACAAGGAAGUGGGAUCGAUGCUGGCUUCUUGCAGGAAUCUGGUGGAGAUGAGGGUGAGGGGGUGCAGAGCACUGACGGGUGCUGCAUUGAGUUCCUUGCUGAAGCACUGUGGCAAGCAGGUGGAAGUCGUCGACAUCACUUGGUGCCCAGGAAUCGUCAGUGAUGCUGUUGAGAUGCUGGUCAUGAAUGCCUCCUGCCGAUUGAGGCAAUUGAUGGUCGAGGAAAACAAAGUCAAUGAAGCUGCUGCAGUUUGGCUGUCUCAGAAAGGGAUCAAGAUUGGUUGAUCAGAAGAAAGUUCUUCACAUGCCAGCAACAAAGAAGGGUACUCACUUUUAUCUAUAAGCUCUACAAGAAAUUAAUUGAUCUUUCUUUCUUGAAGUAACUCAGAUGAUUUGUAGUCAGUCACCUUAACAAAAUGUGAUGCAUCUAUAGUGCCACAUUCCAUGAACCCACCAUAUUUGCAUCUGCAUCUUAAGUUCCAGUGACUAAUUCAGGGAAUGCAGAUGGAUCCUCCCCAACCAAUUGAGGAGAGCAAAGUCAGGGAUAGAUGCUGUUUCAGAAAGGGAUUAAGAUUGGUUUGAUCAGAGAAAGGAGGAGCCGGCAGGCAUUAUACAAUGUUCCGACGACAAAUGGGUAUAUUGCUUUAAUACUCCCCAAUGUGACCAAAUAGUCAAAAACACUUUGGUUCUCAUCCUAUCAAGACUGUUGAUGAAGGCAAUUAAUUUCAUGGUUUAGUUGAUGAAUGGGCCGAAAAGGAUGAUGCUACGUUAGGUACCCUUUUUGAUGGGAUGUUUCCUCACAAAGAUGAAGGACUCGUUAGGUAACAACAGCAUUACCCGGGAUCUCUCGAUGUUCUCCACCAGCAUCAUCAGUCUUGCAUUUAGAUCAUUCAUUCAUGGCUUUGAUCUCGUCGAGGGAAGGGUUUAAGCAGCCCCCAUUCCAUUCUUCUCAACUUGACAUAUGCCGAAUAAUCUUUUUGGCAUAUGUCACCAACAAAUACAUCAAUUUGCUGUCACUUUGCAAUACGAGUGACGCUCCUUGAUAUAUGCCAAAUAAUCUUUUGUACCUUUGAGACUAAGAUGUUAUCUACUACUUACCAACCCCAGCAAUACAAGUUUCAGAAGGA